GGUCAAAUUAAUCCUAAGACCACUCUCUCAAAUAAGAGAUCGAUUGUAGUACUUUAGGGUCAAAUUCCACAAAGCUCUCAAAUCACACCAUAGAUUAAUAGUUUCAAAUAAAGCUAAACAAAAA
rnacentral:sRNA from 1 species